AGCAGCCGCGGUAAUUCCAGCUCCAAUAGCGUAUAUUAAAGUUGUUGCAGUUAAAAAGCUCGUAGUUGAAUUUCGGGGUUAGUAGGUUGGUCAUGCCUCUGGUAUGUACUGGUCUCACUGAUUCCUCCUUCCUGAUGAACCUUAAUGCCAUUAAUUUGGUGUUUUGGGGAAUUUGGACUGUUACUUUGAAAAAUUAGAGUGUUUAAAGCAAGCUAACGCUUGAAUACAUUAGCAUGGAAUAAUGAAAUAGGACGUUCGAUCCUAUUUUGUUGGUUUCUAGGAUUGACGUAAUGAUUAAUAGGGAUAGUUGGGGGCAUUAGUAUUCAAUUGUCAGAGGUGAAAUUCUUGGAUUUAUUGAAGACUAACUACUGCGAAAGCAUUUGCCAAGGAUGUUUUCAUUAAUCAAGAGCGAAAGUUAGGGGAUCGAAGACGAUCAGAUACCGUCGUAGUCUUAACCAUAAACUAUGCCGACUAGGGAUCGGAUGAUGUUAAUUUUUAAUGACUCA
rnacentral:rRNA from 1 species